rnacentral:rRNA from 1 species
UGGGGAAUAUUGCACAAUGGGCGAAAGCCUGAUGCAGCAACGCCGCGUGAGUGAUGAAGGCCUUCGGGUUGUAAAGCUCUGUCUUUUGGGACGAUAAUGACGGUACCAAAGGAGGAAGCCACGGCUAACUACGUGCCAGCAGCCGCGGUAAUACGUAGGUGGCAAGCGUUGUCCGGAUUUACUGGGCGUAAAGGAUGCGUAGGCGGAUUUUUAAGUGAGAUGUGAAAUACCCGGGCUUAACUUGGGUGCUGCAUUUCAAACUGGGAAUCUAGAGUGCGGGAGAGGAGAAUGGAAUUCCUAGUGUAGCGGUGAAAAUGCGUAGAGAUUAGGAAGAACACCAGUGGCGAAGGCGAUUCUCUGGACCGUAACUGACGCUGAGGCAUGAAAGCGUGGGUAGCAAAACAGGA